rnacentral:rRNA from 1 species
AUACGUAGGGGGCGAGCGUUGUCCGGAAUGAUUGGGCAUAAAGGGCGCGUAGGCGGCCCGGUAAGUCUGGAGUGAAAGUCCUGUUUUUAAGAUGGGAAUUGCUUUGGAUACUGUCGGGCUUGAGUGCAGGAGAGGUAAGUGGAAUUCCCAGUGUAGCGGUGAAAUGCGUAGAGAUUGGGAGGAACACCAGUGGCGAAGGCGACUUACUGGGCUGUAACGGACGCUGAGGCGCGAAAGUGUGGGGGGCAAACAGGAUUAGAUACCCUGGUAGUCCACACUGUAAACGAUGAAUGCUAGGUGUAGGGGGUAUCGACCCCUUCUGUGCCGCAGUCAACACAAUAAGCAUUCCGCCUGGGGAGUACGGCCGCAAGGUUGAAACUCAAAGGAAUUGACGGGG